GUGGAAGGCUACAUCGUCACAACAUGUCUGACUUCCGUUCGAAACGCCAUUGUGUUCCGGAUUGAUAACAUUAUGUCGUGGUACAAAAUAGCUAUACACCGUUUAAUUGAACUCUUCUAACUAAGGAGAUGAGAUAGGAAUGGAAUCAUCAAAACGCUUAGAAAAUAUGUCAAUUUUCUUCCUGUUUAAAGCUUUUCACUAACAUUGAUUAUCAGCUGUUUUGUACGGAAAACGUGGAAUCUAAAUAAUAUACCGUUUCCCUGUUCUGCUGCUAUUGGCAAUACAUUUUUGUCAUGUCAUCUGCAACAGACGAUCAUACAUAUGUGGCGGAUUAUCGAUAUAGCUAGGUAGCAAUAGCAGUGGAAGCCCGGAUUUGCAAGCCAAAUGAGGGAAAGACAGAAUUCUGAAAAGGAGCAUGUUUUUCAUUUCCACACACGGAUGUGUAUCACUAUGGACAUCUAAUAUUGAUCCCAAGAUAUUUGAGACCAUGUAAAAUAAAGAAAGACAACUCUUAAACAGGAUCUUUCAUACCAAGAUUUUUGCAAAAAAUUAAGUAUUUUCUUUAAUUUUUCAAUUUCAUUCAAUUUCUUUUCUUCAUCCCAUUCACCAACGAAUAUUGUUUAUAUUUUCAGGUUUUUGUGGGAAUUUGUCCAGCAGUUUGCCUUAAAAGAAUUUUUUUAUAUUUUAGUUUCAUAUUUAUGUGGAUUCCAAUAAAAAUCAUACCAACUUCAUUCGUGAUUUUUUUGUUUUUCAUUUCUAAACUUAAUAACAUUUCACUUUCAUAAGAAUUUUAAAACAGAAAUGUUUAAAAAUUUGAUAAAUAAGGGGUUAUCUGGAACCAGACUGAUAUUUUAAAAAUUCUCUAGAAAAUAGUGUAUUGUAUUUUGAGGUCUAUUAUUGUUGAAUACUGUGCCUAGUAUUGGUAACAUAUGCAUGCAACAAAAAUCUCCUACACUUAUUUGGUGUAGAG